GGGGAUAUAGCUCAGUGGUAGAGCAAACGAUUCAAAAUCGUUAGGUCGCUGGUUCGAUUCCAGCUAUCACCC
rnacentral:tRNA from 1 species